GAGUUUAAGAAAUAUAUAAUUGAGUUAGAGUUCAAACCUUUGACCACAUCUUGACUUUAUUAUUCCUGUUUUAUUGUUCGAUCAGAUCGGAUAGGUCAACUGGACAGGGUGGUGGUUGUGCUACGUUCAUAAGGGAUGGUCUUGUGUAUCGUAAUAUACCUGUCCCAUCUGAAUAUGAAUGUGUGAUGGUGGAAAUAUACAUUUCAGAUGGGAUCCUGUUCACAAGAUGGGGAUUUCAUAAAGUCGACUGGGAAAAAGGGAUCACUACUUAAAGUCUGUUGGAGAGUUGUCUUUGGAGAGGCCGGUUGAUGUAUUUGCUGCUUCUGUGACCUCUCUGAUAUUGAGUGCUGUGAGUUUCUACGUACCACACCCUGAGCAAGGCACACUGGGAAAGGGGAGAGGUGUACACCUGCAGGGUGGUCCUCGACGAUAUCAGUGAAUUCCGCCGCAUUCCAGAAAAGUCACUGUUGUCUAGAGACAGGAGAGGCAAUUGAAGGGGGCUAGAGAGUCCCCACAUGGUGCUAGUUCUGGAAACAGUGUUUUAGAGCUGACUGUUACAGUAUAAUGGUGAAUAAUAUCAUUAGUGCUGUGUGCUAAAUUAACUACUUUGAGAUUAAGUUGUACAUGUCUUCUUUCCUCUGAGAUCACAUACAGCUUGUUUUAAUUGAAAUAUAACCACAAAA